AGUGAACGCUGGCGGUAGGCCUAACACAUGCAAGUCGAACGGCAGCACAGUAAGAGCUUGCUCUUACGGGAGGCGAGUGGCGGACGGGUGAGGAAUACAUCGGAAUCUACUUUUUCGUGGGGGAUAACGUAGGGAAACUUACGCUAAUACCGCAUACGACCUACGGGUGAAAGCAGGGGAUCUUCGGACCUUGCGCGAUUGAAUGAGCCGAUGUCGGAUUAGCUAGUUGGCGGGGUAAAGGCCCACCAAGGCGACGAUCCGUAGCUGGUCUGAGAGGAUGAUCAGCCACACUGGAACUGAGACACGGUCCAGACUCCUACGGGAGGCAGCAGUGGGGAAUAUUGGACAAUGGGCGCAAGCCUGAUCCAGCCAUACCGCGUGUGUGAAGAAGGCCUUCGGGUUGUAAAGCCCUUUUGUUGGGAAAGAAAAGCAGCAGGUUAAUACCCCGCUGUUCUGACGGUACCCAAAGAAUAAGCACCGGCUAACUUCGUG
rnacentral:rRNA from 1 species